GGUUGGCCAGUCACCCAUGAAUGGUGCUAAGAAACUGUCAAGAUAGAUUUUCAAACCAUUAUCGAGCAUGUGCUUAAAAGCUUUUGUUGAUAAUCAUGCAGCAAAAGUCUGCGUCUUUCUUCCUCCGGGUCAAAAUAUUUGGCUACUACCCAAUCUGGGUUUGUUGUUGAGUAGCUUUGGGAUAAGCUUGCCAUUUCCUUGUUUAAAAGUUUAAACAAGGUAUCACACUGAACUGGAGAAGGAGGCAGCAGAGGGCGAUGCUGCGUAUGUAUAUUAUGAAAGUCGUCAAUGCAAAUAACCAGAAACUGCUCAUUGUCCACAACUUCUUGAAAGAAAGUUUCCACAUUGCCAAGGUGAGAAGCAGCAGAUAAUUCUGAUGCCAUCUUAACAGUCCGGGGGUGUGUUGCCACUCCUAGAUUCCGUAGUGAUGCUAAGCCUUGGUCACUUAUCCCAAAUUGUUGGAGUGUUCUGGCAAGAGUGACUUGAAACCAAUUAGCCUUUUGGGAUUGUGAAAACAUCAUGAUGUAAAUCACCACCAUUGUUCUCAGUUUUGUCAGAUGCUUUCUUUCAGCAGACAUUCUUGAAAGACUCAUUGCAUUGCACAAUUUGUUAAAAAGCUUUUCAGCUCCAAUUUGAAGACAGACCUGCUCAAAUUUAUCUGGAUCCAUCUCUGGAUAAGGAUUUGAACUCUUAAAAAAAUGUGAACUUAUUUUUUCAAGCUCUUGUUUCAUGUCAACAUAUUUUGAAGCCUGUUCAAUUAAUUCUUCAUACUCACUGGGAGAAAUGCAAAUGCAUUGAUCAGUUUGAAUUUCUUUCUCUAGACAUGUUGUUGCAGGCACAGUCUGUUCACAGUCACUAAAAGAAUAUAAACUAGGGCUGUUCAGACUGAUGG